AUCCAGUUGAUGAGUCCCAAAUAGGACGAAAUGCGCGUUAUCCUGGAA
rnacentral:hammerhead_ribozyme from 1 species